rnacentral:lncRNA from 1 species
GGCGUCUGUGGGGAACUGGGGCGCUGGUCGGUGCGCGGGCUGGGACGCUAAGUCAUGAGGAAUUAAACUGGGAAACCUGGCGUGGGUCCAGGCGCCUUCCAGGAGGCAUCCGGCGCGGCCCGGACGUGCUUCUACCCAGAACCACCCCCUCCAGGCCGGGGUGCACUUAACGGGGCUAUACAAAGAGUCUGACACUGUUAUUGCCCAUCUGAACUCGUCAACUGAGAAGGAAAGAGAUGGUUUAUGCUGUGAAUAAAAUACAGUUGUGCUGUGAUGUAAAUCCCCUCAUCCUGGAGCAGCUGAGCAAGGUCUAAGGCAGGAAGAACCUUCAAGCAGGUCAUGGCUUGCAGGCUCAACUCUGCCUGGCAGUGGCAAGGGCCAGGGCCAGUGACUGAAGCAACAAACUGCCAGAUGACUGCAGCUCAAGCCAAUGCACAAAGCCACUGCAACAAGAGAGGAAAUUCUUCCAUUUCCAAGUGUGUCGAUUUCUCCCCAUCAAGGAAAACAGCUAAGGCAAUGUGUUGAUAUUUUCUUUGACCAAGUCAUCAGGAGUCACAUAGACAUACAGCACUCAAGAAGUGGCUGUAACUAAAGGCACAUCUCGUUCAUCUACAACCCUUGUAAUCCCAACCUUUGUCUGAUGCACAAACCCUUCCCUAGUUCUCCCCACCACCACCACUGCACCUCCAAGUGGGGACAACGAAUUGUUUCAUUUGCAUGUGGUUUUUCUCAUGAAAAAUAUCAUUAACAUGAGACAGCCCCAAACCAAGGAAACCA